UACCAGCUCUCCGAGUGGUAGGGAUGAUUAUUGGGCUUAAAGCGCCCGUAGCCGGCUUAGCAAGUCUCCUGUUAAAUUCAGCGACCUAAUCGUUGAGCCGCGGGAGAGACUACUAGGCUAGGAGGCGGGAGAGGCCGACGGUAUUCUCGGGGUAGGGGUGAAAUCCUAUAAUCCCGGGAGGACCACCAGUGGCGAAGGCUGUCGGCUAGAACGCGCUCGACGGUGAGGGACGAAAGCUGGGGGAGCGAACCGGAUUAGAUACCCGGGUAGUCCCAGCUGUAAACGAUGCGGGCUAGGUGUUGGGGUGGCUACGAGCCACUUCAGUGCCGCAGGGAAGCCAUUAAGCCCGCCGCCUGGGGAGUACGGCCGCAAGGCUGAAACUUAAAGGAAUUGGCGGGGAGCACCACAAGGCGUGAAGCUUGCGGUUC
rnacentral:rRNA from 1 species